UCUCUCUCUCUCUCUCUCGGCGUGCGCCCGUGUCCCCGCGCUCGUGUGGGCCGCGCUCUGGCCCCGCCCCCGCCCCCGCCCGGGGAAUGGGGCUCGCGCUGCUCGGGGUCGCGCGCCCCGUGCCCGGCGCCCGCUCGGUCCCGCGCUGUCAGCGGCUGCCCGGCUCGGGCCGCCCCGCGCUCGCCCCAACCCCGCGGCGCCCGAGGCUCCGUUAAACGGCGGCGGCGGCGGCGGUUCCUGUUUCCGCUUCUUCCUCUGCUUUCGGCCGGGAGCAGCAUCCUCCACCCGGCCAGCGGCGGCUGGGGGCACGGGGCCGCCUCCCUCCCUCCGAUUCCUGAAAAGUUCAGUGUCAAGUGAUUUCUCCAUUUGACAAACACUGAGUGCUUCUAUACCUCCAUUUUUCAACAUAAAAUUGCAACCAGCUUCAUUUAGCAGCCUCUCUUCACCCCUGGGAUUGUUCUCUGCCCUGCCAUUUCUGGUGGAUCAAAACUGAGUGCUGGCAAUUUC